CGUGUCUCGGGUCAUUCCAGGUUGUCGUGCGGUUAUUGUGAUCCACGAAGAAGGGCCAUCCAGUCUGGGGGUCGAUCUUCACCUCCCAGCCGAGGGGCAGCGGCUCGCUGUCAUUACUUGCCAUGCUGGUUGAGGCAGAUGGUCUCCCUCCUUGAGCCUGGUUCUACUGGAGGAUUCUUCCUAUAUAAAGUGAAAACGAAUGCUUAUGCCCUACAUGGAGAACAAGAGGACUUAGCGAUGUAUCUGGUAACAACACAUCACCCGAGCUGCUUUGACCUCACUCUGACUUCUCAUGGAUGUGAAGACAUCACUGGAACUAACUAAACCUGUAAGUAAGACUAGAUAUAGACUUCUAGGAAUAAUUACUUCAAAAUUAAAGCACCUGCCCAAAUGCAUUACAUCCAGUUUUUAAAAAGGAAUAAAGGGGAAAUACAAGAAAAUUACUCCCAUGACUUCCCCAGUACUGUUUAUCAAAAAAGAAGCCAACAACAGCACUUGUUUUGAUUGGAAUUUUUAAAUUAACGAAUAUCCAUCCAUUCUCUAUACACCGCUUAAUCCUCAUUAGGGUCGCGGGGCUGGAGU